GUUUCUAUGUUUUGGAUAUCAUUUUGGAGGAUGUUGCAGUCUAAAUACUUUUAUAGGAAUCAUCCAACUAUAUUGGUAACUGGGGAAGACUUAUAUCUCAAUGUUCUCAGAAUCCACACCAGCAUAUUUCUGGUACUAAAUUCACAAUCGGUCAAAUUUUUGUUGAGACUUCUGCAUCCAAAACUCCUGCUGACAAGAAGGCUAAACUGAGUACGUCCCAAAAAUCUGGAGGUAGAAGAGAACGGAGAAUAACAUGAAGAGCAGGGAACUCAGGAAGAAGAGGUUAUUGAGGUCGAAGCUGAUUCCACAGAUAUGAGCAAUAAGUGCCAGUUAAGAAGCUAUACUUGUUUGAGCAUGUAGGUAAUGAAUGAUCUUGAGUUUGUCUCCAGGUCUUGUUCCUUUAAGAUUUGUAUCUACUACUGUUAUUACACUUAACAUUACAAUUGCAGAAUUUGUAUGUUCUAAAAACUUAGGAAAUGUUUAUGUACUUGUCAUUCUUUUGAUACUAGGCACAA